UUAGCGUGGAUGAAAAGAUGAUGAAAAUAUGCUUGAAAACAUAUUUGGUGAGUUUUGGUUCGAUUUGAAACGAAUCGUAUGUCAAACGAGCGAAAACGAGCGAAAACGGAGCGAAAACGGUGAAAAUGCUGAAAAAUUGGGUAAGUCCUGAAAAAAAGGCUGUGUAUCGGUGACAGGAUUUCGUGUACCGGUACGCAGUGUAAAAUCCGAGAAGAUGGCCCUCGGGUUUGGCUGUUGCGCGAGUCGUGUACCGGUG
rnacentral:lncRNA from 1 species